GAAGUCCGCGAACAACAGCAGUAGCCUUUAACGUCUUGAAAAAACGUGAUACAAAUUAUCAUUAAAGUCAUUCAGUGUUGGAUUUAUCAUCAUGGACAUGUUGUACAAAGUCUCCGAGAAGACACUGGAGUUCCAGGCCGCGCUACAAAUCUUCUGAAGGGGGGCCACGGUCGCACGGAAGUCCUGCAUCUCGUCAAAACAAACCUAUCUGCAAAAUUUACACGCCGCCAUGUCUGAGAGAGGGUCCCAGCUGCCUCAUGAUGAGGUGCUGAUCCUUCAGGACUUCAACAACACGUCAUCAGGGAUUCUUCGGCUCUGAGCAUCACUCACUUUUGAACACCUCCACUGCAAUGCAUGCUGAGAUGACUCCGGCUCCCUGCCCCCAGACAAGGAACAGAUGGGCGAAGAAAAUUAACGAGUCAGUGAACUAGGUCCUGCAGGUACAGUAUAUGCUUGACUUGGCUAAUGGCUGACUGACUGGUUUCACGGGCACCCAUCCUUCAUCUAAUAUCAACAUUUGUACAGUUCAGUAUAACAACUUUCAAAUCUUUCUAAUUGUAUAUAGAAUCAGAAUCGGAAUCGUGUUUAUUGCUGAGUAGGUUCUCACGGACAAGAAAUUCGCUUUGGUGAUUGGUGCAUAACAAACAUAGUAAAUAGUGAAUAAAAAAGAGUGAAAAAUAAAUGAAUAAGGGGAGGAUAAGCCAAAUUAAUUUAAACCCCCCAAAAUGCAAGCACUGUAAGUACAAGGGAAGAGCAACUGUGCAAUAAACAUGUAUAAAAAGUAAAACUAUUCAGAAUUUGCUAUAUGACAAAUUGUGCAAUGUGUUGCUGAGAUUAGAAAAUAUGUGUGAAAAAUGGGUCUUUAUGACCUUUAAUAAUAUUGAAGGUUUUCUACAAACACUACAUUUUUUGUCUGUACCAUCUGUCCUGGGGGGAUUCUAUUUCUCAGUUUUCAAAGAAAACCAUGCACUAGAUUAUGUUUUCUUAGUAUCCACAAGAAAUUUAAUAAAUCUAUUUGUUUUGGUGCAAUACCUGCCCUCCGCACUGACUUUCUUGCCCCAUUUCCUGUGUUAUUUUGUUAAUACCCUCAUGUGUCUUUCUUCCUGUCCCAGUGCGUUCCCUGCCUUUGAGAUGACCGACCUGUUUCACUUGUCUCGUCCCUCCCAACAUGUGUAUCUAUUCCCUGUGUUUCCCUGCACUGUUUGUCACUUUUGUCUGUUCAUGGUCUGUGUUUCCCCGUGCUGCCGCUCUGUUCUCUUGUGUUUCACAGGCUCUUUUGAGUUUGGAUUUUUCUGUUUGCAUCUGCCUGUCAGGCAAAGCUGGAGCUUCUGUGAGUCUGAAAUAUCUUCAAAUGCACCAGCUCCGCCUUUGUUGUGCGACUGUAUUUGGGUCUCGGAAUCCUUUAACCACAACAGGAACAAGGACAAAUACACCCGACACAUAUACACCCAAAUGACUUAUUAAGGUGUUUGGACCAUCACACGCUGCCGGAACAGCUCCACUGAGCCUCGGCAUUGAUUCUGUACAUCUCUGAACUUUUACCGGAGGGGAGAAAGACAAAAAAAGAUCCAACAGAUAUUCCCUCAGUGGCUGUUUUGAUGAUGUGGCAGAGUGCACCGUCUAACAUGUCAGACAUAUAUCUCCCACAGGUGUUUGACUGGGAUCAGAUCUGGUGACUGUGAAGGCCACGGCGUACGAUUCACAUCAUUUUCAUACUCAUCAAACCGCUCAGUGACUCCCUAUGCCGUAUGGACGGGGGCAGUGUCAUCCAGAGUUUUUUCUUUAAUUUGUCACCAUGCUGAAGUUGUAACAACCCACUACUGAGGCGGAUGUGAUGUUUACUCUAAUGAGCAGCACGGCCGCCGCCGCCGAUCACACAUGAAUUAUGUCCUUAAACGCAUAAACAUUUGCCCACUCUUCCACUCGAGCUGUUUCAGAAUCACAUGCUGUUGAAUUAAAUGGAGUGCGCUAAACUGUGUAAUUCUUCACCUUUUACCCUCAGCUAAUGCAAACUCACCCCCUUGUCAAAACCGAAAGCAUGAAUAUUGACUUUUUAAGCCAUUAUAACCACUCUAUCUCCUGCUUUAUUUUAGUUUCCAAAGACCUGAAGUACACCAAGGAAGCCAGGGGAAUUUCAAAAUGACUUUGCAGCAGCUUCAAACUUGCUGUUAGCAUCCAGCCUCUGGCACAAACUGAAAUGUAUGGACCCCCCUGCUGGUGGCCCGGCUGGAUCUCCGCGAUGGCAGCAGACCGGGACUCACCGAGAGACUAACGGGAGCUGGAGGGACGGAACUGAUUUGGUUUCCAAAAGACGGAGGCAGUGGCCUCCCUGCUGGGCCUGCGGUCGGCCCGCCACACCAGGACCAUUCUGAACGAGUGGAACAACAGACUGGACAGUGAGGAGAAGGAGAUGCUGCGGGACUAUUUUAAUGGAACCGGAGUCCCCGACUCGGGCGACCCUUUGGUUUUUUAAUAAAUCAUCCUGACUCACCGGACACUGCUGCUGAUUUCCACAUGCAAACUGGAAAUGGUUUGUACAGAAACUGUGUUCUGGCCACUCACAGGAAGACGCUGAGUGAGAGGAAGGACAUGGUGUGGAAGGAAAGACUACCACGGGACAGCAAGCCGGUGUGGAGACUCUUGUACAAGCCUCCACUGAACAAGAGGUCCGGAGACCUGCAGUGGAGGAUCCUCCACGGGGCUCUGGCGGUGAAUCUCUUUCUGUCCAAGAUAAAUCCCGUUGUGUCCUCCACAUGUCCAUUCUGUCCACACACAGACACCAUCAUUCACUCUUAUCUGGACUGUCACAGACUUUUUAACAUUUUAAAAACUGUGUUUUUCGACUGUGGGGAAAGACUGGGGGGUGCUGGCUACGGAAAACAAGAUGCUAAAAAGUGGCAGUUGCUUUUGUGGUUGGUCAGGCCAAAUUGUCAAAUUAAUAAAAGCAGGAAAGACAAGAUAGGGAAUGUGUCCGGACACGGGCUGACACACUUGUACGUGUCUCUGGUGAGAGCCAG